AAACAUUCUGCCCUGCCCUGCCCUGCCCUGCCCUGCCCUCCCCCGACCAAGCCUCCUUCCGUUCACCAGCAGGCUGGCGGCCUGGGCUGGUGGGCACUAACUCAGACUGACUUCACUUCAUUUUGGCCUUUUCCAGUUUCCUGCUGAGGUUUCUCUUCCUCUUUCCCAGGAGUCCCCACCUGCCCAACGGAAAGACCUGGGAAGGUGAUCCCAGGGUCCCAUAACUAAGGCCUGUGGACCCCAAUUGAGAGCCCCUCUUCCAAUUCCCUGCCAUGGGUCCUGGAAGUUGGCCGCCCUUGUUUCCCACUGAAGUCGGAAUCCUUUCUCCCCACCCAGCACCUGACAUGAAGAGGGUGCCUGGCGACUCUUUUAAAACACAUGGAUGGAUGGAGGAAUAAAUGAAUUAAGUCAACUUGCUUUUGAAUUCUACAGCAUUCGGGCUUUAAAUCUAAGCCCUGAUUUCCUGGCUAAGACGAAUACAUGAAAGCAGCCUCCUUUAAAAAUGAGAAGCAGGAGAAAUAAACAUAAAAGGAAAACCAA